GUGUCAGCAGCCGCGGUAAGACAGAGGGUGCAAACGUUGUUCGGAAUUACUGGGCGUAAAGCGCGUGUAGGCGGCUUGGCAAGUCGGGUGUGAAAGCCCUGGGCUCAACCCAGGAAGUGCACUCGAAACUGCUUCGCUCGAGUAUCGGAGAGGAAAGCGGAAUUCUCGGUGUAGAGGUGAAAUUCGUAGAUAUCGAGAGGAACACCGGUGGCGAAGGCGGCUUUCUGGACGAUUACUGACGCUGAGACGCGAAAGCGUGGGGAGCAAACAGGAUUAGAAACCCCAGUAGUCC
rnacentral:rRNA from 1 species